GUGGGGGGUGGGAGCAAAUAGCGGCAGUGGUGUGUUCUCACCUCCUCGUGUUUACCACUGUACAAUGCUACACCGACUGAGCUACAGAUCUGAUAAGAUGAACCAUCUGAAGUGUGAACCCACCCAACCGCCUCCCAUCUCAACCCCCACCCCCAUCCCAGUUGGGAAAAGAGUGACCUUUUGGUCUUCAAAAUGUCAGAUCCACUUAACUCGAUCUUAAUUUGGUGCGGAAACAGGCUUUCCAAGUCAGGACAGGGUUAAAGGAUUUCCAGAAUUCUGCACUGUAUUAGAUUUUAAGAUGAAACGCAGACAAGGCUGAGACUAUGAGCAAAUUCUGGGGCUUGAGACUUGGGGCUACAGCGUUGGAAAUGUGUGUCAUGUCAUUCCCCCCACCCACUCUCCACCCACCCCUCACCUCCCUCCUCUCUUGGCUGCACGUCAGGUCUGAAACAGGGAUCGAAGGAUACAGAACGAGCCCAGGUUUGUCUGUGGUUUGCUGGGAUCAACACGGUGCCUUGCGUUCGUGGAUCAGAAUGGUUUUGGUUAUUGUGUGAAAGUUCAGGAUCUCCCUAUCCUCGAUUAAUCAAAGUGGUGUUGCAGUGAAAUUGGUAAUAAAGUUAUUUAUUCUUAAACAUG